rnacentral:rRNA from 1 species
CGUAGGUGGCAAGCGUUGUCCGGAAUUAUUGGGCGUAAAGCGCGCGCAGGCGGUUCCUUAAGUCUGAUGUGAAAGCCCCCGGCUCAACCGGGGAAGGUCAUUGGAAACUGGGGAACUUGAGUGCAGAAGAGAAGAGCGGAAUUCCAUGUGUAGCGGUGAAAUGCGUAGAGAUGUGGAGGAACACCAGUGGCGAAGGCGGCUCUUUGGUCUGUAACUGACGCUGAGGCGCGAAAGCGUGGGGAGCAAACAGGAUUAGAUACCCUGGUAGUCCACGCCGUAAACGAUGAGUGCUAAGUGUUAGAGGGUUUCCGCCCUUUAGUGCUGCAGCUAACGCAUUAAGCACUCCGCCUGGGGAGUACGGCCGCAAGGCUG